rnacentral:snoRNA from 1 species
AUUCCAUGAUGAGGGCACUUUUGUAAUAACUCAUUGUAUCUUUCCCUUGCCUCAUACAAUGACUUAUCAUCCAUUUUUUGGAAGCCAGUGAUCUUGUUCCUUAAAUU